GGUAGUCAAUGACUAUGAGUACAGUUUGUGAUUUCUGAUGGCGGUAUUGUUGACGUUUACUGCUCUUCGUAGCUAGAAACAGUUUUACAAAUACAAAGUUAAGCACUAAAUAUUCAUUGUCAGGCAGUAAAACUCAAAAUAUAUAAUGAUUUCGACUCGUAUUCUAUAUAUUCCAGUUAUAACUGCUUUCUUUUACUGGAAUAAUUUGUUAUGGUGCUAUGUUUUUUGUUUACUAACCAUAUCCUGUUUCUUUAUGGGAUGUUUAAUUGUACUGUUUAUAAACAUUGCACUUUCACCGAAACACCAAACUGGUGCAGGUACUAUAAAAACAGUUGCAGAAAUGGAUGCAUUUCAUAAUUUAUUAAUGAAAGGAUACAUGGUUAAAACUUCAAAUAAUAAAAGACAUAUGCGUUAUCCAUUAGUGUUCACUCGUAUGGUGGAUGGAGCACUGCAAAACUUGUUGGAUUUAGUUUUUCAAGAUUUUGUUGGUUUGUGGUUAAGCGAAUUGGCUUUCAACUCUGAUCAAAUAAUAGAUAACAUGAAACAAGACAUGUGGGGAGCAAUUCAAAGUCUCCACGAACGUUUAUCAAAAGUGGAUCACACAAAACUGGUUGCUUGUAAUAUAGUGAAUAAAAUCACUUUUCAUUUUGAAAAAAUUAGAAUUGCUCAAACUGCUUCGUCAGAAGGUGAAGAUCCAGUAUUUAUUUUAUCAGCGCAUUUAAUGUCAUCUACAUCUGAGUUAGAUUAUUUAAGAAAAGUUAGCGAAUUGUAUAUUUUAUUUUUGUUACCCCACUGUUAUUCGCUCGCGCCGAUCAAGUAUUUAUUGAGAGAAAUUCUUGCAUGUAAAAUAUUGAAACCAGCAAUAGACUUAAUAACAGAUCCUGAUUAUAUUAAUCAAAAGAUCUUAAUGUAUAUUGAUCAGCAACAAUUAGCGGAAGCAAUGCAUAGGAAAACGUAUGAAUACGCAGAAUCGUUUGAAGAUUUUAUCCGUAUGAUCAAAAGUUCCAAAGAUUUAGAAGUACUUAAACAUAUCAGAUACAAUAUCGUUACGGAGAUUAUGCAAGCUACAACAAUACAAAAUGUUAAAAGAGCGCAAGGUUUAGAUCCAGACAAUAAUGCAUUCGGAAAAUCUGAUGUGAUUCAAGCUCGAAAAUUGAAGAGGUACAUCAGCCAACUAACAUACGCUAAAAAUAUGUGUGAAUGUCAUAUGCAAUCGUUAGGAUGGAAUGGAUAUCCUGUUCAGGCCAGCGACGUUACUGACUCAGCGGUGAUUACAGAAGAAAAGAUUUUACCACUACAGUAUAUUUUAGAUAAUGUAAUAGGUCGACGAUACCUAUCACAAUUUCUUGAACAAGUUGCUAGUCAAGAUUUAAUUGGAUAUUGGGCAGCUGUACAGGAGCUGCGCAAUGCGGAUAAAUCCAAUUGGCAUCAAUUAGGAACAGAAAUCUUUUAUACUUAUAUUACCUCGCCUACUGCUGAAAUAAAGGUUGAUAGAGUUAUUCGCAAGAAGAUGGAAAGUUUUCUGUUAGGUGACAUAGGACCUCAUGUGUUUUAUGAAGUUCAAGAUAACGUUGUCAAAACUUUGGAGGAAAAAUAUUAUCCGUCUUUUGUCGUUAGUGAACAGUAUAAAAAUAUGCAAGAAGCAUUACUCAAUGAAAGAACAGAUGAUUUAACAGAAGAUCAUCGUAUAGUAAAUGGAUCUUUAUCAGAAAAUAUAUCUUUGCUCGUUGGAGAACAUUCAAACUAUGCUCGCAGUAAGUUGGAUCAGCUACAAGAAAAAUUAAAUAACAAAAUGCAAGCUUUGCAAGCGCUCAAGUCUUCGUUGAAACCUGAAUGUAAGGUUUUAAAUUUCUUGGCUAAGGAAGUUGAAUGGUUGCAAAGUGAAAAAAGACAACUAGAGGCACAUUUAACGCACACUGAAAUGUGGGCAGAACAUUUGGGUCAUUGGAGAGCAGAAGUACAAAGCGCAGAAAUGCCAGAUAACGGAGAAUCCCCGCACUUUGUCUUGGUUGUUCAUAUGGCAGAAGAUGAGGAUAAUACGGAAGGCAUAUGUAGCGGUUGGGUAGUGUUACGAAAAUUACAAGAUUUUCAAGUUCUUCACAGAAAGCUUCGUCAACUUUGCUCCAAUGUAAAAACCUUAGAAUUGCCAUCGCAACCAUUAAAAUUCUUUGGAAAAUCCGAUAAAAAUACUUUGGACAAAGCCAAGAUACAGAUACAGAAAUAUUUAAAUUUUAUUUUAGAGGAUGAAAAACUGAAUCAAAGCGAGGCUUUAUAUACAUUUCUUAGUCCGAGUUCUGAACAUCUGAAAUAUGCUCCGCCUUCUCCUAAAAAAUCUCGUUUUUCAUUAUCGACAUUAUUCAAAACAUCUAGCAAUGAACUUCGUGACAAAGAAGACGAAGAAGAUUAUUCAUUAUUGUUAGACGAUACUGACAGUGGUCGAACAGUAACGGAUGGAUUUAUGAAUGUUAAUAAAGAUGCGAUAGCAGAACCUCUUUAUGCACUUUUGGGUGAAAUUUUUGAUUUACGAGGAGUGUUCCGCUGGCUUCGACGUUCUUUAAUCACAUUCGUUCAGAUUACUUAUGGGCGAACCAUUAAUAGACAAAUCAGAGAUACGAUUGCAUGGGUAUUCUCAGAGCCAAUGUUACAUUAUUACAUACAGUUAUUUACAAAAUCUUGGUGGCCAAAUGGUCAUCUAGUGUCAGAGACAGUUAUUCGUACAGACGAGGAGAAAUUAAAAACCCGAGGCGAAGCUCGACGACAAUUUCUCAAUAACAUACCUGAGGUUUUAACAAAUUUGGUGGGAGCGCAAAGUGCUCAACGCGGUGCAAUCAAAAUCUUUGAUUCUUUACAAAAUACUAAUUUAAACAAACAAUUAUUUUAUGAUAUCUUUGAAGUUGUGACGUAUGAAGUAUUUCCAGAAAUACAGCGGAACCAUUAAACUUGUGGAUGCAAUAAAUUUUCAUUCCAUAACAUAAUUGUUUUAAAAAAUUUAACUGAUCAUUCCAUACAUUUUGAAUCGAUGCAUAAGAAGUUGUAUCGUUUCAAUGUCUAUCUACAGAUCAUGGAACAUUUUGCAUUUUUAACUAGGUAUUACGAUAAACUUAUUUUUAUAGAAAACAUAAUAUAGUAAUUAUUUUACACAUCUUUAUUUCAGUAUGUCUUAAAUAUCUUCAUAGAAUGUAUACAUAAUAUAAACAACUUUUUAUAUGUUUUUUUUUUUUUCAUACAUUUAAAAAAUCCGAAGAUAAUUCUAUGAAACAUGACUGAGGUACAGUGAACAUAAAUUUUGUACAGAUAAAGUCAUCUCAUAAGUUAUACUAUUUUAAUGUUUAGAUUAUUUAGUAUUUUGUUGUAUAUAAAAGGAAAAUUUUAAUAUAAAAAAUAUAUUUUCAAAAAA